UAUGUAGGCGGAUUAAUAAGUUUGAAGUGAAAUCCUAUAGCUUAACUAUAGAACUGCUUUGAAAACUGUUAAUCUAGAAUGUGGGAGAGGUAGAUGGAAUUUCUGGUGUAGGGGUAAAAUUCGUAGAGAUCAGAAGGAAUACCGAUUGCGAAGGCGAUCUACUGGAACAUUAUUGACGCUGAGAUGCGAAAGCGUGGGGAGCAAACA
rnacentral:rRNA from 1 species